UUGUUAGUUUUUACUAUAUCUGCUUUUGGUUUUUCAGAUUGUCAUUUCACUGAACCAGGAUGAAUAUGUUUAAAAAGCAGGGUUAAUAGUUUUAAGUCACAAGACAUCAACUCAUGGACAAAGCUGAAGUCAAGGCAGGAAGCAGCAUGCCAAAGGAUGUGAAACAUCAACAUAGGAACCAAACCUGCAGGAGUUUUGGUCCUAACCCUGCUCUCAAACAGGAUACCAGAAUGAAGUUGCAGACAUCUGUUUGAAGAAUGUGAUUCUCUAUUCACAAUAGCAUAAUUAAGAG
rnacentral:lncRNA from 1 species